AACGAACGCUGGCGGCAUGCCUAACACAUGCAAGUCGAACGAGACCUUCGGGUCUAGUGGCGCACGGGUGCGUAACGCGUGGGAACCUGCCCUUAGGUUCGGAAUAACUCCCCGAAAGGGGUGCUAAUACCGGAUAAUGUCUUCGGACCAAAGAUUUAUCGCCUUUGGAUGGGCCCGCGUUGGAUUAGCUAGUUGGUAGGGUAAAAGCCUACCAAGGCGACGAUCCAUAGCUGGUCUGAGAGGAUGAUCAGCCACACUGGGACUGAGACACGGCCCAGACUCCUACGGGAGGCAGCAGUGGGGAAUAUUGGACAAUGGGCGAAAGCCUGAUCCAGCAAGGCCGCGUGAGUGAUGAAGGCCUUAGGGUGGUAAAGCUCUUUUACCCGGGAUGAUAAUGACAGGACCGGGAGAAUAAGCUCCGGCUAACUCCGU
rnacentral:rRNA from 1 species